rnacentral:lncRNA from 1 species
UCUUUACGGCAGCCCAUAAUUUUCUUGUACAGUCUUUUCGACACCCCUUCAUGCAAAACGUGAAAUGUGUCGAUGGGGACUUGCUUGAUUACAUCAGUCACUAUGUCAAAAAGAGCUGACUCGCCCUUUAUGCCAUUGAAUUCACGCAUUCCUUCCUCAUUCAAGCGGGAGAUGUCAUGCCUCCAUGAUUGGUGCGUACGUUUUGUAGCCGUAGUGGUACUGUAAGGCCAGACAACAUGUGCACCACCUAAUCCGGCACCAGAUUCCCCUUUAGCUUCGCAAAAUGCACAUGAGUUGAACAUUGGAACUCUGUACACCUGGAAGUCCAUCGAAUUUUUGAGCAGGACCAAGUAGGGGUUAAUGCAAAAAAAA